GACGAACGCUGGCGGCGUGCCUAAUACAUGCCAGUCGAACGAACCGCGACUAGGUGCUUGCACUUGGUCAAGGUGAGUGGCGAACGGGUGAGUAACACGUGGGUACCUUACUUAUAGUUGGGGAUUAAAAUCCGGAACCACUUGCAAUACCGGAUAGGGACUUGGAUUAAAUUGUUCAGGUAGGGAAGGUGGGCGAAGCCUAUCGCAAGGGAUUGAACCGCGGUGCAUUAGCUAGUUGGUAGGGUAAAGGCCUACCAAGGCGAUGAUGCAUAGCCGACCUGAGAGGGUGAUCGGCCACAUUGGGACUGAGACACGGCCCAAACUCCUACGGGAGGCAGCAGUAGGGAAUCUUCCGCAAUGGACGCAAGUCUGACGGAGCAACGCCGCGUGAGUGAAGAAGGUCUUCGGAUCGUAAAGCUCUGUUGUUAGAGAAGAACAGCGCAUAGAGUAACUGUUAUGCGUGUGACGGUAUCUAACCAGAAAGCCACGGCUAACUACGUG
rnacentral:rRNA from 1 species